GCAAGUUGAGCGAAGCUUUUUGGUAGUUUACUACUAGAAAUGACUGAGCGGCGAACGGUUGAGUAACGCGUGAGCAAUCUACCUUAAUUACUGGGAUAUCCCGAGGAAACUCGGAUUAAUACCGGAUAUUCUUAUUUUGUCACAUGAAGUAUUAAGGAAAGGUCAGCCGAACUAAGAUGAGCUCGCGUUCUAUCAGCUAGUUGGUGGGGUAAAAGCCUACCAAGGCUACGACGGAUAGCUGGUCUGAGAGGACGAUC
rnacentral:rRNA from 1 species